AGAAGAGCGAAUAGAGGUGAGGUUUCUAGUGGAUAUGACGACCAUCUGCUGAGUCCCACUGAACCCAAUAACGCGGGUCACUGGGUAUGCGUAAUUUGUAUUUUUCCCUCCUCGUGAAAAAAGGCAUAUCAACCUGGUAAGAAAUUGCAUGCUUAGUCCUGUCAAUGAUAAAAAAAUUUACCCUCUUUCCCCUUGACAAGGCCCGGACCACCAAUCCCACCCAAUGCUAUCAAAAUCGCAUUUUACGUGGCCAGUGCCCAAAUUGGUCUUUCUUUAACAAUGAACUACGAUUAUCUAAACUCUAAAUAUCGGCACCCCUUCCCGUGCCAUUUAGUUCGACGAAACUCGGGCCCAAGCGGUAGAUAUCGACGCGCACUAAACAGAUAACGGGCAAAAAAGCAGUCCGCGAGCUCGGCUUGUUACGUUUACGUUUGGCCCAAGUAUCUGGUCGCGAAUCAGACUCGCGAUAUUCAUGUUUUGGCCAAAAUCUUCAUCGCGUGUCUGACUCGAUAAAGUAUGGAAAGGUGUUAAUACAAGAAUAUUCAAACUGUAUACAUAAUUAAUAUUUAAUAUAAAAUUAAAUAUUUAUUUUAAUUACACGUCAACUUUAUUAUCUACCCUAUCUUUCUGUCUAUGACCUACGUCCAUCUUAACAUGUGACUCGUAGUUAUUUAUUCGUUAUAGUUCCCGAACUGUAAUUGCACUUUAUUUCAAUUCCUAUUCUAGUCAAAUUCUAAUUCUUAUUUCCUUUAAUUUAGCCAAUAAAUUAACUUAAUAUUAAUUUAGCUUACUUUAACUUUAAUAAAAAUCCACUAUACUCUUAUUCACUCAAAAACAUUAAUUGUUAUAUAGCCCCGCUACGCCUUCCAAUUUGGCCUGCGAUUUCUCGCAUCCGUUAAACCCUGUCAUCUUAUUCAAGUCAACAUCAAACUAAAAUCACUGUACGUACCCGUGACACCAUAAUUCAUAUCACAUGGGAAUUAUCCAUCACUGUCUAGCUCGUUAAAAAUUGGCAUUUCUCAUGUUUCCUUUAAACUAAU
rnacentral:misc_RNA from 1 species